CAAUUUAGGAGCUGUCUUCCAAGACCCUGUAGAUUCUUCAGUGAGGGGAGUGCCACAGACGAGGAUUAUGGGGUACCAAGUGAAAUAGACUUUGUUCAGAAAAAGAUUCCAGCUCCCUUUUCCCAUGUCACUUUGAAGAUAGGAAAACUACAGCAAAGAAAUGAAGUCUUUGUAGAUCCUUCUUAGUGACAGCUGCAAUAGAGCAUCUUAAGUCCACCACCAGAUGGCAGAGGUACCAAACAUUAAGGAAUCCUGCUCCUGAAGGGAAGCUGUUUGAAAGAUCCUGUAUCUUCAUGGGAAGCACAAAAUGCCUUCUCUUCUCUUUUCUCCAUCUUUCUGGUUAAUCAAGAGUUCAUUCUUAGGGUCCAAUGUCACCUGGCAAUUUCCUGGUAUGUAGAUCACUGCAUUGAGUGUUCCAAUGUUCUAUGAGAUGCGUGAUUCCAAAAGUCAUCCUGCAUUCUGAACAGCGACAUAAAACCAAAAGUGAAAUCACAAAAAUAGGGGGACAAAUUGGGUUCAAAUUGCCAGGAAGAUAAAUGGUAAUGUACUGGGAAGCCUUCAAUCGAGGACAAGUAGUCUUACAAGGAAAUGAUGCAGAGGGCACAGAGCAAUGUUAAUCCACUUAGAAACCGCUAUGGAAAGGGUUUAUUGCAACAAAUAAAAACAGAAAUAUUAUUCAUUAUAUCAUUGUGAUGG